rnacentral:rRNA from 1 species
AACGUGGCGGGCCAGCGUUGCUCGGAAUUACUGGGCGUAAAGGGUUCGUAGGCGGUGCAGCAAGUCGGGAGUGAAAUCCCGGGGCUUAACUCCGGGACUGCUUCCGAAACUGCUGUGCUAGAGUGCGGGAGAGGCGAGUGGAAUUGCGAGUGUAGCGGUGAAAUGCGUAGAGAUUCGCAGGAACACCAGAGGGGAAGGCGGCACGCUGGACCGCAACUGACGCUGAGGAACGAAAGCUAGGGGAGCAAACAGG